rnacentral:sRNA from 1 species
GCCGGGCAGGGUGGCGCAUGCCUGUAAUCCCAGUAGCUAAGGAGGAUGAGGCAAGAGGAUUGUGAGUUCAAAGCCAGCCUCAGCAACUUAAAGAGGCCCUAAGCAGCUUAGAAAGAUCCUGUCUCUA